AGCAUACAUACCACCCCUCAACUAUUUACACCAUGGACAAUGGAGAAACAAGGUAGUGAGGUAUUCACAUAUGAGGUGUUCGAGAAACUUCAGCUACAGAUUAUUGCUGCUAGAGACCAUUGUUUUGUUCAGAGUAUUACACAAGGUGUGGGGGUAAAAAAUGUGACCCUGAGAGGUCGGUCUGGUAAAGUUAGGGAGGUUUGCUAUGACACUACAAGCAUGACAGCAAACUGUUCGUGCAAGUUGUUUGAGUCAGUCGGUUUUCCAUGUCGCCAUAUUAUCCAAGUGUUGAGGAUUGAAAACCAAAAUGAGCUUCCCAGCCACUACAUUAUGAAAAGAUGGCAGAAGAGGUGCAAAAGG
rnacentral:rRNA from 1 species